UGGGGAAUAUUGGACAAUGGGCGAAAGCCUGAUCCAGCCAUGCCGCGUGUGUGAAGAAGGUCUUCGGAUUGUAAAGCACUUUAAGUUGGGAGGAAGGGCAGUAAGCGAAUACCUUGCUGUUUUGACGUUACCGACAGAAUAAGCACCGGCUAACUCUGUGUCAGCAGCCGCGGUAAUACAGAGGGUGCAAGCGUUAAUCGGAAUUACUGGGCGUAAAGCGCGCGUAGGUGGUUCGUUAAGUUGAAUGUGAAAGCCCCGGGCUCAACCUGGGAACUGCAUCCAAAACUGGCGAGCUAGAGUAGGGCAGAGGGUGGUGGAAUUUCCUGUGUAGCGGUGAAAUGCGUAGAUAUAGGAAGGAACACCAGUGGCGAAGGCGACCACCUGGGCUCAUACUGACACUGAGGUGCGAAAGCGUGGGGAGCAAACAGG
rnacentral:rRNA from 1 species